AUUGAACGCUGGCGGCAGGCCUAACACAUGCCAGUCGAGCGGAUGAAGGGAGCUUGCUCCUGGAUUCAGCGGCGGACGGGAGAGUAAUGCCUAGGAAUCUGCCUGGUAGUGGGGGAUAACGUCCGGAAACGGGCGCUAAUACCGCAUACGUCCUGAGGGAGAAAGUGGGGGAUCUUCGGACCUCACGCUAUCAGAUGAGCCUAGGUCGGAUUAGCUAGUUGGUGGGGUAAAGGCCUACCAAGGCGACGAUCCGUAACUGGUCUGAGAGGAUGAUCAGUCACACUGGAACUGAGACACGGUCCAGACUCCUACGGGAGGCAGCAGUGGGGAAUAUUGGACAAUGGGCGAAAGCCUGAUCCAGCCAUGCCGCGUGUGUGAAGAAGGUCUUCGGAUUGUAAAGCACUUUAAGUUGGGAGGAAGGGCAGUAAGUUAAUACCUUGCUGUUUUGACGUUACCAACAGAAUAAGCACCGGCUAACUUCGUG
rnacentral:rRNA from 1 species